CAGCGGUCAUGGACGUGUAGACACGAACUACAUGCCAUGGUCCACAUCUCAACUAGGUUGGCGGAGUUUGACUGAGACGUAACGUGAAUAUGGAACCAUGAAGUUUUCUGUUUUCCACAAUAGCAACUACUUAGGACUACAAAAGCCCCUGGCCAUACAGAACAUAGGACCUUCUGACUGCUAAUUUGGACUCCAUGGCUGACGCACCCUGAGAAUGUCAGCAAAUGUCCAGUCUCGCCACAAGAAAAUGAAAGCACCAAGUUUGAGUCAGUUUUUUUGUAUUUUGAGUCAGUUUUAUGACAGUGAUUUCAAGUGUUGCUCAGUUUUAUAUGUCCUGAACAUCCUGAGAAGGUAGUGAUUGCAACUGUUAAUGGGCAGAGUUGAUGUAUGUAUUCUUUACUGUUCUGAAAGUUGAAGAAAGUGGACAGUGGAGGAUUUUUUUCUUCCUCAAUGAACUUAUGCCUCUUAAAUCAAUGAGGAAGUGAAAGCAUCAAUCUUUUUAAUUUUGUAAUAGAGCCCAAUUGAUGGAAUUACAGAAUUAGAAGGGAAAAGUCAACUGUAACACUAUUAGUUUCCUUACUUUUGAGCUUUAUAAUGGUUUCUGAACUCCCUUGAUGUAUG